ACCAAUGUAUUGGAAGAUUAUUUCAAGAUGUAGCUGAAGAAGAUAAAAUCAGUAAUGAAUUAAGUUUAUACAUUAGGGGUGAAGGACUUUUUGGUAUUCCUCCAGCUGUAAGACAAAGAACUACCCGAUCUCCAGCUGAUUGGUGGUUGGCAUAUGGACAAGGAGCUCCCAAUUUACAAAGCUUUGCUAUCAAAGUCCUAAGUUUAACAUGUAGUUCAUCUGGAUGCGAACGCAAUUGGAAUAUUUUUGAACAUGCAAGUAUUUUACAAUGUAUGUGUUGAUUUUUUAUAUAUGUUCAUAAUAUAGUAAUGUAAUAAUAUUUUAAUUGCAGCUUCAUAGCAAACGAAGAAGCAAAUUGGAUCAUGGUCGCUUAAAGGAUUUAGUUUAUGUGAAAUAUAAUAGAGCACUGAUUCGGAGAUUCAAUCAUCGUGAUGUCAUUGAUCCUAUUUCUUUGACUGAGAUAGAUGAUGCAAAUGAAUGGCUAA